GUAGGGUGCGAGCGUUAAUCGGAAUUACUGGGCGUAAAGCGUGCGCAGGCGGCUCCUUAAGUCAGAUGUGAAAUCCCCGGGCUUAACCUGGGAACUGCGUUUGAAACUGGGGAGCUAGAGUGUGGAAGAGGGGGGUGGAAUUCCAGGUGUAGCAGUGAAAUGCGUAGAGAUCUGGAGGAACACCGAUGGCGAAGGCAGCCCCCUGGGCUGACACUGACGCUCAUGCACGAAAGCGUGGGGAGCAAACAGGAUUAGAUACCCUGGUAGUCCACGCCCUAAACGAUGUCAACUGGUUGUCGGGGAAGUUAUUCCUUGGUAACGAAGCUAACGCGUGAAGUUGACCGCCUGGGGAGUACGGCCGCAAGGUUA
rnacentral:rRNA from 1 species